GAUGAAGAACGUAGUGAAAUGCGAUAAUUAAUGUGAAUUGCAGAAUUCCGUGAAUCAUCGAAUCUUUGAACGCACAUUGCGCCCGCCAGUAUUCUGGCGGGCAUGCCUGUCUGAGCGUCAUUUCAACCCUCAUGCCCCUAGGGCGUGGUGUUGGGGAUCGGCCAAAGCCCGCGAGGGACGGCCGGCCCCUAAAUCUAGUGGCGGACCCGUCGUGGCCUCCUCUGCGAAGUAGUGAUAUUCCGCAUCGGAGAGCGAUGAGCCCCUGCCGUUAAACCCCCAACUUUCCAAGGUUGACCUCAGAUCAGGUAGGAAUACCCGCUGAACUUAAGCAUAUCAAUAAGCGGAGGA
rnacentral:misc_RNA from 1 species